AGGCAGCCCCUUUGUCCGAUUUCAAUGGCAAUGGAGGUGUUGCGUUGCUCGGAGAGUGAUUUCUUCUGCUCUUCAGAUUAGCUGAGGGGGAUGGCUUGCCUUCCCUCGCUGAAGCUUGUCUAGUAGUCUUAAGAACAUU
rnacentral:snoRNA from 1 species